AGCGAACGCUGGCGGCAGGCCUAACACAUGCAAGUCGAACGGUCCUUCGGGACAGUGGCGGACGGGUGAGUAACGCGUGGGAACGUGCCCUUAGGUACGGAACAACUCAGGGAAACUUGAGCUAAUACCGUAUGUGCCCUACGGGGGAAAGAUUUAUCGCCUUUGGAGCGGCCCGCGUCUGAUUAGCUAGUUGGUGAGGUAAUGGCUCACCAAGGCGACGAUCAGUAGCUGGUCUGAGAGGAUGAUCAGCCACACUGGGACUGAGACACGGCCCAGACUCCUACGGGAGGCAGCAGUGGGGAAUCUUGCGCAAUGGGGGAAACCCUGACGCAGCCAUGCCGCGUGAAUGAUGAAGGUCUUAGGAUUGUAAAAUUCUUUCACCGGGGAAGAUAAUGACGGUACCCGGAGAAGAAGCUCCGGCUAACUUCGUGCCAGCAGCCGCCGUAAGAC
rnacentral:rRNA from 1 species